ensembl:misc_RNA Metazoa_SRP Metazoan signal recognition particle RNA
GCCGGGCGUGGUGGCUCACGCCUGUAAUCCCAGCACCUUGGGAGGCUGAGGUGGGUGGAUCACCUGAGGUUUGGAGUUCAAGACCAGCCUGGCCAACAUGGUGAAACCCCAUUUCUA